rnacentral:lncRNA from 1 species
ACCUCGCGGUAGACGGCCGUGGCGGGUGUCACGAGCCCGUAGUUGUCAUCGCAGCCAGCGGCGCCCGCUGAGCCGCCCAGGACGCCCGGGAGAGAGGCGCUGCAAGAGCCUCCGGUGGUGCCCGAGCCCCCCUCGCCAGAGCGGCCUUCGCUGACCAAGUCGAGGACAAGGAACUUCUGGAGUGCCAUGAUGACCUUGAAGGUGACAAUCCAUUCCUGGAAUAUCAUGACAGCUCCCAUGUGACAAAGUGAAAGCAGUACACCAGAUCCACCGCCCAGAUGGCAGGAUGCUUACAGAAGGACAGACAAUACAGUGCAGAUGAUUACAGUGGGCAGCAAGUGUUGAGAGGCACCAAACUGGGCCACAGACUUACAAGGUGACCAUAAGUAAAUGGACAGAUGUGGAACGGACCGUGAGAAGCUGGGCCUGGAGAGAUGGCUCAGCAGUUAAGAGCACUGACUGCUCUUCCAGAAGACCUGAGUUCAGUUUUCAGCAACGUGGCUCACAACUAUCUGAAAUCAAGUCAGAUUCCUUCUUAAUGGUUACCUGAACUGCACAUGGAUGUGUGCCAAAGACGGAAGACAAACCUCUUCAGUGCCACUGUCUAUGACAGCCCUACAUCCUUUAGUGGCGAGUUAAGGGGACAUGUUAUAAUGCAUUCCUGCAACAAAGUUCCACCUGUGCGUGAACACAUGGAUAGCCGGUGACCAUGUGGUGGCUGUCAUUUGUCUUUAUAAAGUAGUCUUAUGUGACUGGAGCUCAUGGAGUGGUGGCAUAUGCAGUGUCCAGGAAACAGGAGGAACGCUUUCCUCAGAACGCCAGUUACACAUGUUUUCUUAACUUGAGUGGAGGUGGGAGGCAGGUGUGUUCUCUUGGGAACUCUUCCACCUGUGCACUUCGGUGCACUUCUUGAGUGUUGAUUUUACAUAUUUUUAAUAAAGAAAUUUGAAAGUG